GACGAACGCUGGCGGCGUGCUUAACACAUGCAAGUCGAACGGUAAGGCCCUUCGGGGUACACGAGUGGCGAACGGGUGAGUAACACGUGGGUGAUCUGCCCUGCACUUCGGGAUAAGCCUGGGAAACUGGGUCUAAUACCGGAUAGGACCACUGCCUGCAUGGGUGGUGGUGGAAAGCUUUUGCGGGGUGGGAUGGGCCCGCGGCCUAUCAGCUUGUUGGCGGGGGGAUGGCCUACCAAGGCGACGACGGGUAGCCGGCCUGAGAGGGUGACCGGCCACAGUGGGACUGAGAUACGGCCCAGACUCCUACGGGAGGCAGCAGUGGGGAAUAUUGCACAAUGGGAGCAAGACUGAUGCAGCGACGCCGCGUGAGGGAUGACGGCCUUCGGGUUGUAAACCUCUUUCAGCACCGACGAAGCGCAAGUGACGGUAGGUGCAGAAGAAGGACCGGCCAACUACGUGCCAGCAGCCGCAGUAA
rnacentral:rRNA from 1 species